rnacentral:rRNA from 1 species
CCUACGGGAGGCAGCAGUGGGGAAUAUUGGACAAUGGGCGAAAGCCUGAUCCAGCAAUGCCGCGUGAGUGAUGAAGGCCUUAGGGUUGUAAAGCUCUUUCGCCCGAGACGAUGAUGACGGUAUCGGGAGAAGAAGCCCCGGCUAAUUCCGUGCCAGCAGCCGCGGUAAUACGGAAGGGGCUAGCGUUGUUCGGAAUUACUGGGCGUAAAGCGCGCGCAGGCGGUUGGACAAGUGAGGCGUGAAAGCCCUGGGCUCAACCUGGGAAUUGCGCUUCAGACUGUUCGGCUGGAGUUCGGGAGAGGGUGGUGGAAUUCCCAGUGUAGAGGUGAAAUUCGUAGAUAUUGGGAGGAACACCGGUGGCGAAGGCGGCCGCCUGGCCCGUAACUGACGCUAUAGCGCGAAAGCGUGGGGAGCAAACAGGAUUAGAUACCCUGGUAGUCCACGCCGUAAACGAUGAGUGCUAGAUGUCGGGGAGCUUAGCUUUUCGGUGUCGUAGCUAACGCGUUAAGCACUCCGCCUGGGGAGUACGGCCGCAAGGUUAAAACUCAAAGGAAUUGACGG